AUUUGAUUCUGUGAGUGUGUACCUUAUAUAAAAGAACAUGGGCUAGGGAAAACUUCUCUGCUGUUUGAACAGAGACAAAGGGUGAGUGGACAUUAACUAAGAAAAGGGCUGGGAAAGGGCGGAGAAGAGUGUCCUAGGCUCAACAGCGCGGUGUCGAGCCCUGUGUACAACACGAACAAGGUGUGCUGGUGUCGCAGAAGUGCCAGUGGGUCAACGUGACUGCAGCUCCCCAAGCAAGGCAGUGACUCAGGGGCCCAAGAGGUUUCAUCUGAGGUUCCUUAGUUGUGAUGGCAGAGGAAAGUGAGACCGAAGAACUUCCCAUGGGCUUGUCAGUACUGCAGCUUGGAAGUGACUCACAAUGCUUUCUCUCAGGACUAAUCACACAGCCUCGCCUACAACAAAAAAACUAGCAAAUGUGAGGAAGCACAUGGAAUAUUUGAAAGUGUCGAAGAGGAAAUACCCAAACUCCCAGCUUCCCUGCAGCUGGGGGUGGCCAGAAAACUCAGCUAUGGCCAAUGAGAUUAUUGAUCUGCGGUGGAUUGGGGGAAAACAACUGCUUCUUUGCCACUGAUAGUUUGAGAAGCAAUGAAAUAGCAAGGAAAAGCAGACCCGGGAUUGGAUGGGGACAGUCUAACUCCAGAGCAUCUGCUUGUCCUCAGGGUUGAAAGAUGGCUGCUGCACCUCCAGGCUCUGCAUCUGCAUUCCAAGGAGAAGGAAAGGAAAGGAGAAGGGCAAAGGGGAUGACUAGUCGAGGCCACAAAUAGCCACCUUGCUAUUUUUCUGUCAUGCCAAAUUUAUUCCCACCACUCUGCCUUUGUUCUUUGUAGUCUCUCUUCUCCAGAUACCCAGACAGCUUGCUCCUUUGCUUUGUUCAGACCUGCAUUCAAAUGUCACCUUCCUCAGAGACACAGUCUUUGAUCAUCCUGUCUAAAAUAUGACCAUUGUCCUUUUACUCACUAACCGUCUAUUAUCCAACAUAGUAGCCACUAACCACCUGUGCCUACUGAGCACUCGAAAUGUGGUUAGUCCAAAUGGAGAUGUGCUGUAAGGAUAAGGCACGCACUGGAUUUCAAAGACUUUGUUUCAAAAAAAAAAAGAAUGUAAAAUAUCUCAUUAAUAAUUUGUAUAUUUGUUACAUGUUGAAAUGAUAAUAUUUUGGAUAUGCUGUAUUAGGUUAAAUAAAGUACAUCAAUAAAAUUAAUUUCACCUCUU